UCUCUCACAGGUUGUGUCAAACGUACUGGAUAUGAAGUUGUGAGAUGAUUUGGAACGACUGAAGAAGAUUAGCAACCAUCGUGAUCUGG